rnacentral:rRNA from 1 species
UGCGGCCAUUAACUCCAGUUGAUCCUGCUGGAGACUACUGCUAUUGGAGUCCGAUUAAGCCAUGCAUGUCAGGGUUUCAGGCAAUGAAAUCCGGCAAACAGCUCAGUAACACGUGGACAACCUGCCCUUAGGAAGGGGAUAACCUCGGGAAACUGAGGCUAAUACCCUAUAGGUGACAAGUUCUGGAAUGACUGUCACUGAAAGGCAUCUUCAUAUUGCUUGUUGAUGCCACCUAAGGAUGGGUCUGCGGCGGAUUAGGCUGACGUUAGGGUAACGGCCUAACGUACCUACGAUCCGUACCAGCUAUGAGAGUAGGAGCUGGGAGAUGGAUACUGAGACAAAGAUCCAGGCUCUACGGAGCGCAGCAGGCGCGAAACCUCUACAAUGUGCGAAAGCAUGAUAGGGGGACUCCAAGUGUCUCUCUAAAGAGAGACUUUUGUAGUAUGUAAAAAGUACUACGAAUAAGGGGUGGUCAAGACUAGUGCCAGCCUCCGCGGUAACACUAGCAGCCCGAGUGGUAGUCGCUUUUAUUUGGCUUAAAGCGUCCGUAGUCUGAUUAGUAAGUUCUCUGUGAAAUCCUGUUGCUUAACAAUAGGGCUUGCAGAGAAUACUGCUAAUCUUGGAGCCAGGAGAGGUUAGGGGUAUUCUGGGGGUAGCGGUGAAAUGCUAUAAUCCCCGGAGGACCACCGAUGGCGAAGGCACCUAACUGGAAUGGGCUCGACGAUGAGGGACGAAAGCUAGGGGAGCAAACCGGAUUAGAUACCCGGGUAGUCCUAGCCGUAAACGAUGUGGGCUGAGUGUUUCUUGAACUUCGGGUUCAAGAAGUGCUGAAGGGAAACCGUUAAGCCCACCGCCUGGGGAGUACGGUCGCAAGGCUGAAACCCACCUUUUAUUCACGCUCAAUUUCGGUUUCGGGCACUCUUCUCUAAAGAGAAAAAGGUUGGGCAGCAAACUUAAAGGAAUUGGCGGGGGAGCACCACAAGGGGUGGAGUCUGCGGUUUAAUUGGAUACAACGCCGGGAAACUUACCAGGGGCGACGGCAGAAUGAAGGUCAGAUUAAAGAUCUUGCCGAACGAGCCGAGAGGUAGUGCAUGGCCGCCGUCAGCUCGUACCGUGAGGCGUGCGGUUAAGUCCGUUAACGAGCGAGACCCGUACCUCUAUUUGCUACCUUCCUCGUGGGAGGGAGGGCACUAUAGAGGAACCGCUGGCGAUGAGUCAGAGGAAGGUGCGGUCGACGAUAGGUCUGUAUGCUCCGAAUCUCCUGGGCUACACGUGGACUACAAUGGCAUGGACAAUGGGUUGCAACACCGAGAGGUGAGAGCUAAUCCCUAAACCAUGUCUUAGUUCGGAUCGAGUCUUGAAACUCAGACUCGUGAAGCUGAAAUCCCUAGUAAUCGCUCUUGACCAUAGAGCGGUGAAUAUGUCCCUGCUCCUUGCACACACCGCCCGUCAAACCAACUGAGUGAAUUUAUGACGAGGCUUUCUCAUAUGGGAAAGUCAAGUUAUAAAUUCGCAAGGGGGGUUAAGUCGUAACAAGGUAGCCGUAGGGGAAUCUGCGGCUGGAUCACCUCCA